rnacentral:tRNA from 1 species
CAGGGAGACAACAAAAUGUUUAAUAUUAUUAUUUUGUCACCUUAGGUCGAUCGGUAUCUCACGUUCUUAAUUUAUUAAGAAUUUCAUUUCCUAAGUUUUUCUAGGUCACACCCAUUAUUUUCCUGGGCCAUUAGCUCAGGUGGUUAGAGCGCACCCCUGAUAAGGGUGAGGUCCCUGGUUCAAGUCCAGGAUGGCCCAUAUCUCUAUGUUGGGGGUAUAGCUCAGUUGGUAGAGCGCCUGCUUUGCAAGCAGGAUGUCAGCGGUUCGAGUCCGCUUACCUCCACUGAUCACCACCUCUUCCAUAAUCGAUAGAAAGGAAAUGUUUUGAGUUGUGAUCUAAUUCUGAACGAAUCUAGCUUCCUAAUUAAAUUAUUAAGAUGCUGGACUCAUUGAAUUAAUUUCAUUGUUUUCAGAGAACCUUGACAACUGCAUAGAUUAUUUUUUAAAGACAAUAAGCAUCUUUAAUGAUGCAGAUUUAUUAUUUGUGCGAAUGCAUUAAUAACAAUUCUAUUAAGCUGAUGCUUCAAUUUUGAAGUUAUU